rnacentral:rRNA from 1 species
UACGGAGGGUGCAAGUCGUUGUCCGGAUUUAUUGGGUUUAAAGGGUGCGUAGGCGGCCCGUUAAGUCAGUGGUGAAAGCCUCCAGCUCAACUGGAGAACUGCCAUUGAUACUGACGGGCUUGAGUACAGACGAGGUUGGCGGAAUUGAUUGUGUAGCGGUGAAAUGCAUAGAUACAAUCAAGAACUCCGAUUGCGUAGGCAGCUAACUAGGCUGUAACUGACGCUGAGGCACGAAAGCGUGGGGAGCGAACAGG